rnacentral:rRNA from 1 species
UACAGAGGUGGCAAGCGUUGUUCGGAAUUACUGGGCGUAAAGCGCGUGUAGGCGGCUUUGCAAGUCGGAUGUGAAAGCCCCUCGGCUCAACCGAGGAAGUGCGUUCGAAACUGCAGAGCUUGAGUGCCGGAGAGGGUGGCGGAAUUCCCCAAGUAGAGGUGAAAUUCGUAGAUAUGGGGAGGAACACCGGUGGGCGAAGGCGGCCACCUGGACGGUCACUGACGCUGAGACGCGAAAGCGUGGGUAGCAAACAGG